GGAGGGGUAGCGAAGUGGCUAAACGCGGCGGACUGUAAAUCCGCUCCUUCGGAUUCGGCAGUUCGAAUCUGCCCCCCUCCA
rnacentral:tRNA from 1 species